ACCUAGACCUAAUUCUAGAUCCCCUCCCAUAGAAAAAGCUAAGAGAAAGCAGUCGCACAUCAUCAUAUACACACACAGAGCAACUCCUCUAGGCCCCUUUUUUUCAAAAAUCAAACACACACAGAGAUAAGGAUGGAAGAAUGGACAGAUGGAGGUGGUCUUUCUUUGAAUUUUAGGAGAACCUCUAAGCCUCCAGUUGCCGCCACUCUCACUACCCAAAGAACACUACUUUCAUCCCUCUGUCUUCAUCUAUGUAGCGUCAUUUUAAACCACCAAAACAGUCGCUCAAAGUAGCGCCACAAACACCUUGAAAAUCCAAUCGAAACACAGCUCCAAAAUACCCCAAAAAAAUAGCAGCAAAGCUAGCUGCGAGACAGACCCCAAGAACGACCCAAAAACCACCCAAAAAUAGCCUCGAAAUCGUCCAAAACGACAUGGCAGGUGCGAGUCGAGUCGAGCUGCCUGUUUGCAAUUCCGAGAGGUUCUGUUCGAGUUUUCUCUAAUGCGGCCGUGGUCGUUUGGUUGAGUUUAGUUGCUGAUUCAUCUUAACUAUCGUGUAUGUGGCUGGAGUUUACUUUUAAAUUAAUAAAAAGCUUUGAUCCUUAAGAGGCAUAACAUUGAACAUGUGAUUCCAGUAUUAUAGUUUCACUCACUGCUUCAUCCGUUAGCGCUAAAGAAACUACAGAUUGUGCUCUUUCUUUUUGUUGGCAUGCUUGCGAUUGAAAUUGUUGGGUGUGGUGUCUAGUGUGAUUUAGACUAAAAAGAUUGUUUAGUUUGUUGAUUCAGGUAAUGAUUUUGGGUAGCAGAAUGUAGGACGCCAGAAGAAAAGAACCAAAUCUGAGGCUGAUUACAUAAUAUGUCCUUAAAUAUAGGAACAGGUUGAAAUUUUUUGAAUGUCUAAAACUUUUGCGAUCAACUUGUGAUAAGUGAAAGGUGAAAAAUAAAUCAUUGUGGCUA